CACGUAGGGGCCAAGCGUUGUCCGGAUUUAUUGGGCGUAAAGAGCUCGUAGGUGGUUUGUUACGUCUGCUGUGAAAUCCUAGGGCUUAACCCUGGGCUUGCAGUGGAUACGGGCAGACUAGAGGUAGGUAGGGGAGAAUGGAAUUCCUGGUGUAGCGGUGAAAUGCGCAGAUAUCAGGAGGAACACCGGUGGCGAAGGCGGUUCUCUGGGCCUUACCUGACACUGAGGAGCGAAAGCGUGGGGAGCGAACAGG
rnacentral:rRNA from 1 species